AAGGGCCUUAGUUUAAUUAAAAUGUAUGACUUGCAAUCAUAAGAUGCAGAGUAAAAUCUGUGGGUCCUAU
rnacentral:tRNA from 1 species